rnacentral:rRNA from 1 species
AGUGAACGCUGGCGGUAGGCCUAACACAUGCAAGUCGAACGGCAGCACAGUAAGAGCUUGCUCUUACGGGUGGCGAGUGGCGGACGGGUGAGGAAUACAUCGGAAUCUACUUUUUCGUGGGGGAUAACGUAGGGAAACUUACGCUAAUACCGCAUACGACCUACGGGUGAAAGCAGUGGAUCUUCGGACCUUUCGCGAUAGAAUGAGCCGAUGUCGGAUUAGCUAGUUGGCGGGGUAAAGGCCCACCAAGGCGACGAUCCGUAGCUGGUCUGAGAGGAUGAUCAGCCACACUGGAACUGAGACACGGUCCAGACUCCUACGGGAGGCAGCAGUGGGGAAUAUUGGACAAUGGGCGCAAGCCUGAUCCAGCCAUACCGCGUGGGUGAAGAAGGCCUUCGGGUUGUAAAGCCCUUUUGUUGGGAAAGAAAAGCAGCAGGUUAAUACCCCGCUGUUCUGACGGUACCCAAAGAAUAAGCACCGGCUAACUUCGUG